rnacentral:rRNA from 1 species
GAUAGUGGCGACGGGUGAGUAACACGUGGGCAAUCUGCCCUUCACUCUGGGACAAGCCCUGGAAACGGGGUCUAAUACCGGAUAACACUGCGGAUCGCAUGGUCUGCGGUUGAAAGCUCCGGCGGUGAAGGAUGAGCCCGCGGCCUAUCAGCUUGUUGGUGGGGUGAUGGCCUACCAAGGCGACGACGGGUAGCCGGCCUGAGAGGGCGACCGGCCACACUGGGACUGAGACACGGCCCAGACUCCUACGGGAGGCAGCAGUGGGGAAUAUUGCACAAUGGGCGAAAGCCUGAUGCAGCGACGCCGCGUGAGGGAUGACGGCCUUCGGGUUGUAAACCUCUUUCAGCAGGGAAGAAGCGAAAGUGACGGUACCUGCAGAAGAAGCGCCGGCUAACUACGUGCCAGCAGCCGCGGUAAUACGUAGGGCGCAAGCGUUGUCCGGAAUUAUUGGGCGUAAAGAGCUCGUAGGCGGCUUGUCGCGUCGGAUGUGAAAGCCCGGGGCUUAACCCCGGGUCUGCAUUCGAUACGGGCAGGCUAGAGUGUGGUAGGGGAGAUCGGAAUUCCUGGUGUAGCGGUGAAAUGCGCAGAUAUCAGGAGGAACACCGGUGGCGAAGGCGGAUCUCUGGGCCAUUACUGACGCUGAGGAGCGAAAGCGUGGGGGAGCGAACAGGAUUAGAUACCCUGGUAGUCCACGCCGUAAACGUUGGGAACUAGGUGUUGGCGACAUUCCACGUCGUCGGUGCCGCAGCUAACGCAUUAAGUUCCCCGCCUGGGGAGUACGGCGCAAGCUAAAACUCAAGGAAUUGACGGGGCC